rnacentral:tRNA from 1 species
GGAGUUAUAGUCAACUAUGAUAUAUGAAUUGCAACCAUAAGGUGUUUUUAAACUAACUUCA